rnacentral:pre_miRNA from 1 species
CUCUGUAAAUAUAAAAUAUUUGGUUUUGGUCCUCGGUAUUUUGUUUUAAUCAUUGUAAAAUCAUUUCGUACUGAAAUUGGUCCCUAUAAUAUUCAUUUUAAUCCUCAUUUUGAGGGACUAAAAUCAAAUAUUAUGCAUAUUACAAGGACUAAAACAAAAUACCAAGAACCAAAACCAAUUUUUUAUAUUUGCAGGGA